GGCAGGCGCUCUAAAUGCCUCUACUUCUUCUCCUCGGUACUAAUACGAUGCUUGUUUUCACCAAAGGUUCGUCACACAGCGACAAGGAUGCGGACUCGAACACGCCGGAGAAGAGCGCGCGCGCCCCCGAGCGCAAGCGCAAACGGAAAGCGGACGACGCGGGCGGCGGACUCGCGGGGGGCGGCGGAGCGCCGAAGGGCGGCGGGCGUCCCGCGCUCCCGUCGUCCGACAAGAAAAUCAACGAGUACUUCAAGCAUUCGGGCAGCAGUCCGAUCAGGCACGGGGGCGCCAAGAGCCCCAGUCCGCAACAGCCCUAUCCUAUGUUACCCCCUUCCCCGCAACAAGUCGGCCUACCCUCACCGGUGACGACGGGUCCUUUCGAAUUUCUUCCAGCUACCCGACAACCUCACCAGAGGUUACCUUCACUCUCAAUGGUUCACAAACUUAUACAGACUGAAUUAACGUGUCAUCGAAUAAAAGAGUUCGAGACACAGGCGUCCUCCGACCUGGAAGUACGCAACAACAAGAUCGAAGAAUUGACGCGGACGAGCGAAGAGCUGCGGCAUCAGAUCUCCACGCAACAAAAAGCCAUCGAUCAGCACAAACAGCAAGUGAACAAAUGUAUAGAAGUGGUAAAAAAGUUGCUGAAAGAGAAGAGUUCGAUCGAGAAGAAGGAGGCGCGUCAGAAAUGUAUGCAAAAUCGGUUGAGGUUAGGGCAGUUUGUGACGCAAAGGGUGGGGGCGACAUUUCAGGAGAAUUGGACUGAUGGACACGCGUUCCAGGAACUAGCGAGGCGGCAAGAAGAGAUCACUGCCGAACGGGAGGAGAUCGACCGGCAAAAGAAGCUGCUGCUGAAGAGGCGGCCGUCGAGCAGCGAAGGGGGCGGCCGGAAACGGAACAACUCCGCGCUGCACAACGGCACGACGACGGACAGCGGCUUCCUCAAACCGGACACCGUGCCCGGCUCCUUAACGUUGCAGGAGUACUACGAAGCGGACGAGAUCCUCAAGUUGAGGCAAAACGCGCUCAAGAAGGAAGACGCCGAUCUGCAGCUCGAGAUGGAGAAGUUGGAGAGGGAGAGGAAUCUACAUAUUAGGGAAUUAAAACGUAUUCACAACGAGGACCAAUCUCGGUUCAACAAUCACCCUGUACUAAACGAUAGGUAUCUUCUGCUGAUGUUACUAGGUAAAGGUGGCUUCAGCGAGGUGCACAAAGCGUUCGACCUGCAAGAGCAACGGUACGUGGCUUGCAAAGUGCAUCAGCUCAAUAAAGACUGGAAGGAGGACAAGAAGGCGAACUAUAUCAAACAUGCUUUAAGGGAGUACAACAUCCAUAAGGCUUUGGAUCAUCCCCGCGUAGUUAAGUUAUAUGACGUGUUUGAAAUAGACGCGAAUUCGUUUUGUACAGUUUUAGAAUACUGUGAUGGCCAUGACCUAGACUUUUAUUUAAAGCAGCAUAAGACAAUACCAGAAAGGGAGGCACGAUCCAUAAUAAUGCAGGUAGUGUCAGCGCUCAAGUACCUGAACGAGAUCAAACCGCCUGUGAUUCACUACGACCUAAAGCCGGGCAACAUCUUGCUGACGGAGGGCAACGUGUGCGGCGAAAUCAAGAUCACCGAUUUCGGCCUCAGCAAGGUGAUGGACGAGGAGAACUACAACCCCGACCACGGUAUGGAUCUUACGUCGCAGGGCGCAGGCACUUACUGGUAUCUCCCUCCUGAGUGCUUUGUAGUAGGAAAGACUCCCCCAAAGAUUUCUUCUAAAGUCGACGUCUGGAGUGUAGGUGUGAUAUUUUACCAAUGUCUAUAUGGCAAAAAACCGUUUGGACAUAACCAGUCUCAGGCUACCAUUUUGGAAGAAAACACUAUACUAAAAGCGACUGAAGUUCAGUUUGCUAAUAAACCCGCUGUGACCAAUGAGGCUAAGAGCUUCAUUAGAAGUUGUUUAGCCUACCGCAAGGAAGAUCGCAUAGAUGUUCUUUCUCUGGCCAAACACGAGUACUUGCAACCUCCUAUGCCAAAACACUCGCGAGUCACCUCCAACCAGCAGCAGCAGCAACAACAGCAGCAGCAGCAACAGGCUAGUUCGUUUUCGACGGGCAUCUUCGGCGCCAUGAACGCUUCCUCCUCAUCUUAGUGCAGUGCUGUGUUUUUAAGUUAUUUAAAUAAAUAGUAAGAGACAGAGAGAUGUUGAACGGAUGUAAACAGUGAGUCUGUUACGCGUCGCCGCCAUAAACUAUUCCCGUGAAAAUGGCGCGCGCAUGUUGAACCGAACACUAUAAUGUCAAAAUAUUGUUGUUGAAAGUUGUUUUAGCGAGAAAAAGGACCAGGAUUCCCCUCUAAAUGCGAUAAGGCUAGAACGUCAAGUGCUGUGCUGGACUAGGUUUUAAAUCUUUUUCAAUUUCUUGUUGCUUAAAAUGCUUCCCUUGUCUCCUACCGCCCUCGCGAGACUGGUGAGGCGUCGUUCCCUUUCCAUUUUUGGCCAAAAUUGGGUCUCGAUUGUGCAUGAUCCGUUUGUGUUUCAGAAACCGAUUUCAUAUACAGGGUGUGCCAAAAAGUACGCCACCGAUUUUUUUAUCAAUGAGUUAUCGGAAACAGGUCAUAUAGAAUAAGUUCAGAAUUCUCAAUGACAAAAAAUAAUGUGACAACUUUAAUUCAAUUUUACUGUCCCACAAAAAAAUGUAAAAAACCAAACUGUGCAAUGGGUUAUGGAAAACAAAAUUUAAACUAACAUAUUGAAAAUGACUUUAUAAACUAUUCAAAAGGAUCUGGCACUCAUUUCUAGAUAAAAAAAAACAUGGUACAUUAGCUUACUUCGGAAUCGGUAAUAACAAGAACCCGAACAAAGUUUCUAAUGAAAUAUGUUUUUUUUUCUAUAAUCUAUUGAAACAAGUUUGGCAUCAAAUUGACAUUUAUUUUUUUUUACACUUAUUUGUGGGACAGUAAGUUAAAAAUAUUAUAUUAUAUUCUGGUUGAAUUUUCUUUGUUUUACAUAAUUUAGCGAAAACAAUACGAUAUUUAUAAAAGUGCCAGUACAUUUACGAAACUUUGUAUAUUGACCUAAAAUAAAAGUCUGUCACAAAUUGUCACUUAACCUAACUUUUUGCAUAUCUAAAAAGAGUUUUUGUAAUUUACCUACGCGACAGUUUGUUGACGUAAUUACGUCAAACAUCCUAAUUUAGUUCAGCAUUAAACCUUCUUACAAUAACUCGUUAAUAAAAAUGGUUCUCAGUUGUUGCAAACUUUAUAUGACACGCCCUGUAUACUUUUGUAACAGUAUAAUAUGAAUUAUUGGUGCUUAAAAAUCAAUGUUGUCAAAAAUCAUACCGGUAUUAUACAUUUAUACUAAAUAAUUAAUUAUUGUUACCUGCGGACAUAGUGUAUUUUUAUUUCUAUACAAAAAUAAUUCUGAUUUGAAUUGACUUAUUCAUUGAAACAUAUAUUUUCAAAUAUGUUAUACUGUAAGAGGAACCUUUUGAUAUUAUUUUGAUUAAAAGAAAAAGAUCGCUGUAAAGUAUUUUUAAUUUUCCUAUCAGUAUUAAAUAACACCUUCCAGAAAAUCACUCAGAUAUUUUAGAAAAUGUACAGAUCACUUUUGUGGCCAUUUGUGUGUAUAUUAUACACAAAUUAUAUUUAUUUGAUCAUUUCAUGAUUUUAUAUUACAAAGUACCAUCAUGUAAUACUUGUCAACUUAAAUUUUAUGAAACACAAGUGGAAAGUUUGAAGUUGAAUUUGUCUGAGGCUGUAAAAAUUUACAAAAAAAACAUAAGACCUAAAACAAAAAAUAAUUUUUCGUUUAUUAGAGCAAUAAAAAAACAAUAUAAUUAUAUUGUUAUUUAUAACUUUUAUAUAUUUUGCCACUGAAAAUACUUUUUAACCUAAAAAAUAUGAAAAAAUAUACUCUAUUUUUUUUGAAUUGUUAUUGUCAGUAUCACUGCCAUUUUUAGUCAUUUAUAUACACAUACUGAAUCUUUUUUAGUAUGUUUUGAUGACAGAUAAACGUAAGACAGCUAUUGCAUUUUAUUUAAUAUAUACAAGCCGCAAAUUAACUUAAACUAAGGAAAGGUCUAACGAGAAAAAAACAGUUCCUAUGAAAGGACGGUCCCUACCAGACUCUGCGACGGUAAUGCACUAUUUAAAAGAAAAUAAAAGCAGAAAUUCCGUAACUAAAAGGUGUAAGUGCAAAACUGAAAUGUAUGUUUCCCAUUCAUAUUAGGUAUGAAAUUAUAAUAAAAGUAGAGAACGUUAAAAAGUUGUUUUAUGAAGUGACCUUGCUUUGACCGUACGGUUUACUCUCUUGUUUUUCAGGUCUUCGAUUAUUUUUUCAAGUGAAGUUGAUUACUUACAUUUAUCACACAUUUUUAACGAUAUCAGGCCGAUCUUGUGACAUUUUCUUAAAACUAAAAAGUGCUAAAUAAUUAUAAGAAAAUGUAACUGGGUAACAGUUACAAUGAAAAAAACCUUAAAAUUUGACAAUGUUUUUGUGGAUAAAAUUUUUCAAAAUUUUCAUAAAAUACUUAUAUAGUCUGUACAACGAGAAGAUCCCUGACAGUUACAGUUGUGUCUGUCAUUUUAAUUCACAGAUAAAUUACACGUACUGUUAUUUUUUGGAUAUGUGUCAAAAUCUUCCUUGACUCCUUGGACAGACUUUACUUACUAAUAAAAAACUCAUACUGUAUUUAUUUAUACAUAAGAGGUUGUACAUCAUUAAAAAUAAAUUAUACCACAUAAUUAAGGGAUAUUUUAAUUUUUUAUUACAAAAUUGGUACACAUCCUGUGAGCGUUAAAAUAUUUUAAAUUCUAUAUACAGGAUACUUGCAUUCCAUGGACCAAACUUUACUAGCCAAUUGUCCGACUAAGAAUAUGCAUAUUUAUCAACUAAAAAAAUAAAAGUCACACAUCUGAGAUAUCCAAAAAUAAUGAUUGAAAUACAUUUGGUAGUAGAUAAUGUUAUUGAUCAUAUACAAAUAUUUAUAGGUAUUGCAACUAUAAUUAUUGAGAUAUAAAAAAACGAUAAUAAAAAGUGCAAUGAAGAUACUUGUAAAAUUUAAGUACCUAUCUUUCUUCUUUCUGCACUAAUCAUCAGAUCCCUGACAUGACAGGUCACUGCCAGGGAAUACAUACAAUAUUGGCAGGUAUCUACCUUUUUAAAAGGUAUUAAAGGUUGUUACUUGUGACUGUGGGGCUUAUGAUUUAUGUAGAAAGAAAAAAUAUAUCUUGUUAAAAUUUGUCACCAUUUUUAUUGCACCUUUUAUCAUCAUUCUGGUCUUUUUAAAAUAUUUAAAUAUUAGUUGGAGUCAGUGGUGAACCACGCAACAACAACGUAUUAAAUUGUCUUCAACAUGAAUAUAAUCAUAUAAAGGAAUUAAUAAUUUCAUUAUCAAUUAAAUUUGCAAUAAAAUUGCAUAUAAACAUUUUGGUUCCCUCUUACCAGCUCUGAAAAAAGAAUUGUAUUUUAUUUGCUAUCUAGUUGUUUUUAAUAUUAUUUACCGUCAACUGAACUCUGCUAAUAAAUACUGUAUGAUCGAAAAAAAAACACAGCGUCCAGUUGCUUGGAAAUGAACAUCGAUGCCGUUCCCCAUAUAAAAUAACAGCGAUCUUCAUUUCAUAGCCAUCGCUGACACCGUUUUUUUUUCAUCAUAUUGUAUAAAAUAAUACUGUUAAAAUUAAGUUCGACAUUUAAUUGAAUAUUGUUUUUUCAAGUUGCCAGAAGCAUCAGAGGAUAGUCUAGAAUUUAGACAGAUAAAAAUAUACAGGGUGUCCCAGAAAUAAGUGCAAGUAUUUUAACUGGGAGUAUAGUUCAACCCCAGAAACACGCCUGAGUUUUUUUUUCGCGAAAAAAAAAUUCGGAAAUUCGGGAUUUUUUGAAAAAAAAUUUUUGAUUUUUUUUUAGUUUUUAGUUAAAAACAUAAUUUUUUGAUAAUAUGGCAACAUAGGAAGUAGAUUAAAUUCACAAGAAAUAAAAUCCAGAAAAGAUCCAGUGGUUCUCAAAAUUUUAGCAAAAAAUAAUAACUCGGUUAUUUUGGACAUCUUUGAAAAUAAAAAUUCCCCUUAAAAUACUUGCACUUAUUUCUGGGACACCCUGUAUACAAUAUGAAGAAAUGUGCUUUAUAUGAUGACUAAAUAUAUCAAUAUUAAUAAUUAAAAACAUUAGUAUCUUAAAAAUACAUAGAUGAAAAAAAUUACGUUAUUAAAUAAAGUUUAUUAGCCAUAGUAUUUCUGUCAUAUCCACACGGCACUAUUCAAAUUUUAAAUUUGACACAAGAAAUAAAAUCACAACACUCUAGAUGUACCAAAGCAAAACCAACGGUAAUUAUGCUUUUAUUUAGGUACUUUUAUAUAUAAAAAUUAUUUAUUAUAUUUUUUUUAUUCAGUCGUUACAGAACGGAGCAAUUCUAUUGAAUGGCAACACCGAUAUUGGAAAACUUUGAAGAUUUAGUUCGAAUACUGGAUUAAUCAUAAUUGUGUGUGAUAAAAUAUUACAAAAUUAUUAUUUUUUUUAUAUUUAAAAGAUAUUUAGUACUGUAAAAAAUAAUUGGAUGAGAGCUUCCACUUAGAAUAUUUCUAUUAAAUCCAUUCUUUUAAACAAUUAUUUUAAUUCGAAACAAUACUACAAUGUCUGCUUCUUAUAUUUAACACAUUGUGGUCUUUGUUUAAUAUCUUGGCCAUUAUGAUAUACAACCAAUUAUGUCAAAAAUGUCAUAAGAACUGUGCCACAUGAUAAUAAUUGUUGGCUAAUUCUAGAAUCAAAU
rnacentral:misc_RNA from 1 species